rnacentral:rRNA from 1 species
UACGGAGGGUGCGAGCGUUAAUCGGAAUUACUGGGCGUAAAGCGCGCGUAGGUGGCUUGAUAAGCCGGUUGUGAAAGCCCCGGGCUCAACCUGGGAACGGCAUCCGGAACUGUCAAGCUAGAGUGCAGGAGAGGAAGGUAGAAUUCCCGGUGUAGCGGUGAAAUGCGUAGAGAUCGGGAGGAAUACCAGUGGCGAAGGCGGCCUUCUGGACUGACACUGACGCUGAGGCGCGAAAGCGUGGGGAGCAAACAGG